rnacentral:rRNA from 1 species
UACAUAGGUCUCAAGCGUUGUUCGGAUUCAUUGGGCGUAAAGGGUGCGUAGGCGGCGCGUCAAGUCGGGUGUGAAAUCUCGGGGCUUAACUCCGAAACUGCAUUCGAUACUGCCGUGCUUGAGGACUGGAGAGGAGACUGGAAUUUACGGUGUAGCGGUGAAAUGCGUAGAUAUCGUAAGGAAGACCAGUGGCGAAGGCGGGUCUCUGGACAGUUCCUGACGCUGAGGCACGAAGGUCAGGGGAGCAAACGGG